AAAUUAUAGGUGAAACCCCUAUAUAUCUCU
rnacentral:tRNA from 1 species